UUCACACACCAGCGUUCCUCACCGGAACAUAAACACGUUCCUCGCCUUCGGCACUGCUCCUCAAACCCUAAAACCCCUUGUCGUAAUAGAGCUGCUACGGCCGGACCCCUACCGGAGAUGCCCGGGCGGCUGUCGGAUCCGGGAGCAGACACAAUAGUGCCGAUAUCGCUGGAGUCCCGACAGCCGGUUGUGCUGUCCCUACGUCACGGUGUUUCCGCCCCGGUAUUCCGCGUCUACAUUUCUUGGUCCCGUGGCAGUCUUCUCCAUGUAGCCUGUCUCCGCCCGCCUUCUCUGGAACCUGACGGCGCUGGAGACGAUGAGGAGGAAGGUGGGAAAGUGGUGGAGGUGAGGCUGGGAACGGGCGAUGGCGGAAUCAGUGAGGCUCAGAUGCGAAGGAUCGCGUAUGGUUCCGUCCCUCCCUUUGUGGAGCUCCAGAGCUGGAAGAAUUCGCUCGCUUCUCUGUCCAUGAUGUCAUCCUCUUCGUUCCGCACGGAAAAGUGGCAGUAUAUUUUAGAGUACAGUAGAAAAGUAAAUGAGCUUCUCAAAACUCAUCAGAUUCCUCCCGACAAUGUGAUCGAGGAUCCAAGGAUAAUUGUGAAGCUUCUUAAGGAGACCUCCAGUUUGAGAGCUGCUUGGGAACUGAUGGAGAUAUUUUUUAUUGAUAAACAAUCACUAUCAUGGCUUCCAGAGCGCCUUGUGGAUUGGUUAGAGGAGUAUGAUAGCCUUGUGACCAGGACUGACCUCACAGUUUAUUCAAAGCUAGUGGCUAUGCAAAAGAAACUUGUUGAUUUCAAGGUUAUUGAAGAUAACCCUGAUUAUUGGGAAGCAGUGUCAUCAGCCCUUGCAGUUGGUUGGCUUGAUACUGUGGCAAAAUUACUGAGACUGCAUGGCUCUUACCAAUUGGAUCAGCUUGAUGACCGUGAGACUGAAAAUGGGUUAGUAGAGGCUGUUGCUGUUCUCAUCUUAACAAUGCCACGCUUGUGCCCUGACUUAUCUUCUGAAAAGAUAGGUCAAUGCUAUGAUACUAAACCAGAUUUUAUCAAGGCUUGGGAAAAAUGGCGCGGCCAGGUCAGUAAACUAGAACGGAGUGCAUAUUGGGUGCAGUGUAGCCAUCAUCAAACUCGGGAAGGCCUCCAGAAGUUGUUAAAGAUUUUGCUGGGCAACAUAAGCAAUCUUACAUCUGCAACUUGUCACUGGAUGGAGCUUCUUAUCUCUCAUUUACUUUAUACAAGACCAUUCAUAAUGGGUUUAGAAGGGCUGAACAACUUGGCUCAAAAAUGUCAGCAGUUGAAGCCUACUGCUGAGUAUAAUGGUCUUAUGAGUCUUCUGAUGGGUAUCCUUCAAGAGAGCCCCGAGGCUGUGUUAGCAGAAUGCUCCAGAACAUAUGGUCCUUGGAUGGUUGCCCAUGGAACAGAGUUGUUGGCAGCUGGCAGUGAUUAUGCUGACAUACAAUUGCAUGAAGAGAGAUACAACCUGGGAAGUAUCAGCAUUGAGGAACUCCAUUGGCUUGUAUAUGCCCAAGUCCUUUCGUCUCAUCCCUUGACUUGGCAAAUUGCAUCCACAUAUCUAGCACAAUGCCCAAAGCAAGGAUUAGGGCUGUUAGAGUUUUUAUUGUAUAAGCAGCCUCUUCAGCACCAUCAAGGGAUUUUUAAAAAUCUUGAUCUGAGUCGUUCCUAUGAUCUUGAUAACAUCAGUGCGAGUAUUAUGAAGAUUGCUGGUAUGCACCAUUGGAAGCAUGGGAGGAAAGGAUUUGGAAUUUACUGGCUUCAACUAGCCCGUGAUGAAGUUCGUCUCAACAGAAUUGCUCAACAGCUUUUUGAAUUCAUUGGGAGGUCACUGUCUGAUGAUAGCUUCCAGCAAUGGGAGGGAUUAAUCGAACUGCUAGGCACACGAGUAGGAAGUUCAGGAGGGCUGGAGUUUCUUCAUAAAUAUCGGGACUUGAAGAGAUUACUUAAGCAGGUGGAAGAUGGAAGAGCAGUGAAUGCUGCUCGGCUUGCUGCUGAAUCACUUGUACAGCUGAUGAAAAGUCCAUCCACUCCACAACAAUUCUGGCUUCCCCUUUUGUACGAUUCGGUUAGCCUGUUAAACUGGAAGGCCCAACCACUGUUAAGGGUCUCAGAAACGAAUCUGUUGCUGAAUAAGUUGCAAGAUCUCUCCAUGGCAAAGAUGUGCCCUGGUUUUGUCGAUUCCAACUUGCCGUCUCAUGCUCUUAGUUCUGUCAGAUUAGCCCUGGCCAAGAAUCUCGGGCGUGCUAUUCUUGAAGAAUGCUGAUGCUUUUAGACCCACCACAACAAGGAGGACAACUCAUUGCAAAAGUUUCAACGGUGCCAAAUUAGUGAUCAUUUGAAGCUCGUGCGUCUACCUACGACGGCUUUGUCCUUAAGCAAUGUCAAGUACUUUGGCAUGCGAAGCUGGAGCAUCUUCCGGUCGGUUUGCCAUUAGGCUGUUUGCCCAUCCGUCCCAAUCAGUGGAACAGGAGUAAACGUGAUAUCGUCCUCUCCGGAUGUGGAACACGAGUAAACGUGAUAUUAUCCUCUUAGU